GAUGAGCGCUGGCGGCGUGCCUAAUACAUGCAAGUCGAGCGAACAGAUAGGGAGCUUGCUCCUUUGACGUUAGCGGCGGACGGGUGAGUAACACGUGGGUAACCUACCUAUAAGACUGGAAUAACUCCGGGAAACCGGGGCUAAUGCCGGAUAACAUUUAGAACCGCAUGGUUCUAAAGUGAAAGAUGGUUUUGCUAUCACUUAUAGAUGGACCCGCGCCGUAUUAGCUAGUUGGUAAGGUAACGGCUUACCAAGGCAACGAUACGUAGCCGACCUGAGAGGGUGAUCGGCCACACUGGAACUGAGACACGGUCCAGACUCCUACGGGAGGCAGCAGUAGGGAAUCUUCCGCAAUGGGCGAAAGCCUGACGGAGCAACGCCGCGUGAGUGAUGAAGGUCUUCGGAUCGUAAAACUCUGUUAUUAGGGAAGAACAAAUGUGUAAGUAACUGUGCACGUCUUGACGGUACCUAAUCAGAAAGCCACGGCUAACUACGUG
rnacentral:rRNA from 1 species